rnacentral:rRNA from 1 species
UUGCUGCUUCGCUGACGAGUGGCGGACGGGUGAGUAAUGUCUGGGAAACUGCCUGAUGGAGGGGGAUAACUACUGGAAACGGUGGCUAAUACCGCAUAACGUCGCAAGACCAAAGAGGGGGACCUUCGGGCCUCUUGCCAUCGGAUGUGCCCAGAUGGGAUUAGCUAGUAGGUGGGGUAACGGCUCACCUAGGCGACGAUCCCUAGCUGGUCUGAGAGGAUGACCAGCCACACUGGAACUGAGACACGGUCCAGACUCCUACGGGAGGCAGCAGUGGGGAAUAUUGCACAAUGGGCGCAAGCCUGAUGCAGCCAUGCCGCGUGUAUGAAGAAGGCCUUCGGGUUGUAAAGUACUUUCAGCGGGGAGGAAGGGAGUAAGGUUAAUACCUUUGCUCAUUGACGUUACCCGCAGAAGAAGCACCGGCUAACUCCGUGCCAGCAGCCGCGGUAAUACGGAGGGUGCAAGCGUUAAUCGGAAUUACUGGGCGUAAAGCGCACGCAGGCGGUUUGUUAAGUCAGAUGUGAAAUCCCCGGGCUCAACCUGGGAACUGCAUCUGAUACUGGCAAGCUUGAGUCUCGUAGAGAGGGGUAGAAUUCCAUUGUUUAGC